UACGUAGGGUGCAAGCGUUGUCCGGAAUUAUUGGGCGUAAAGAGCUCGUAGGCGGUCUGUCGCGUCUGCUGUGAAAACUCAGGGCUUAACCCUGAGCUUGCAGUGGGUACGGGCAGACUAGAGUGCGGUAGGGGAGACUGGAAUUCCUGGUGUAGCGGUGAAAUGCGCAGAUAUCAGGAGGAACACCGGUGGCGAAGGCGGGUCGCUGCGACGGAACUGACGCUGAGGAGCGAAAGCAUGGGGAGCGAACAGG
rnacentral:rRNA from 1 species